rnacentral:misc_RNA from 1 species
AAAAAAAAAAAAAAAGAGAAGGCAAAAAGAAAUAUAAGAAGAUUACUUAAUAGAGAAAGCACCUCCAUGUCCAAUCUUGGCAAGUGGACACGAUGGAAACAGUCUCAUCCAAACAAUCUUAGCUCAAAAUCAAACACAUCUAGUUAUUAAAACUAAAUGCUAGCCCUACUACGGGUCCUGCCCCACUGGCGUCUACGAGCCCUCCUCUUUCUCCCAUCCUUUUUUGCCUUAACCUUUUCUUUUAAAUCCCUCUCCCCUCGUCGUUUAUAACUUUUGAAACUUGUCUGUCUAUCUGCAGCCAUAUUUCUCACCUUUUCUGUGAUCUCUACUGCAAACUGCCUGUUAUACAAUUUCCUUAAACCACGCAUGAGCUUAGCAAAAGUUUCUGGCUUUGGCAUUACACCUGCAUCCAUCAUAUCCAAACAAUAUGAACAAGCCUCUUUCACAUGUCCAUUUGAAAACAGUGCAUGAAUCCAAAUUGUCCAAGCAUCCGAAUUAAGUUCACAUCCUUUGGUAACAAUGCAACUCCAGACAUCUUUAGCCAUUUCAAGCUUCUCACCUCUCAGCAGAGCAUUCAACAACUCCUUCAAGAUUCCAUAUUGAGGAGUAUAUAAAAGGCCUCUCCCAACCAUUUCUUUAAAAUACUCACAAGCCUCAACCAAACAACCCUGCCCAAGAAGCCCAUGAGUCAAAAUAAGAAAAGAGUCAAUCCCUGGACUAAAGCCAUUUGCUUCCAUUUCAUUCCAAACUCGAAUGCCAUCAUUGACUUCCCCCAGCUUGCAGGCCAACCUAAUCACUACAUUGAAAAUGCUGAGAUCAGGAACACAGCCUACCUUCUGCAUUUUCCCCUUCAAUUCCAUACACUCUUCCAACUCUUCUUUCUUUUCAUGGGCCAACAUUAUGUGCAAGUAAAUCAGUUGAUUAGGCAUACACCCUUUCUCUAUCAUAUGAUCCAAAAUCUGAUAUGCCCUAUUAAUUUUACCCCACUUGCAAAACCCACUUAUUAAUGCAGCAUAAGUCACAAUAUCAGCCUCACAACCAUUCCUUUCCAUCUCAACAAAAACUCUCAUUGCCUCAUCCAUCUUCUCCUGCGCACUGAGUGCCUGAAUCAAAAUAGUAUAGGAAUUUGCAUUAGGCUCACACCCCUUCCUCCUCAUCUCCUUCAACAAAUCAAAAGCAUCAGCCAUUUUUCCUGCCAUGGUAUAGCCAAUUAAAAGAUUGUUAUAAACCACAAUAUCCGGUUCAAACCCAGCUUCACGCAUUUGUACCAAAACAUGUUUAGCCUCCAUUAACUUUCCUUCUCUACACCAACCAUAUAACAAAGAAGUAAAGUGAUUCAAGCUUGGCCUAAACCUCACCCUCAUGUCCUCAAAAAGCGAAGCAGCCUGCUUUACACUACCUUUCUUACACAAUGAAUCCAAUAAACAACCAAACACAUACUCAUCAGGUUCACAUCCAUACUUUGGCAUCUCAUCUAAUACUUCAAUUGCUUUCUUAACCAAUCUGGCAGAAGCAAACCUUCGGAUCAAAACAACAAACAAUUCACUCGUUAUCAAAACACUAUUAUCUUUCCUCAUUUCCUCUAGUAAGGCCCAAACUGCACCAAAUUGUCUCAUUUUACUGAAAAUCUUGACCAUAGCCUUAUAAUUUUCAUAACUAUGUCUAUAGCCGGGCUGCUUUGAUGCCCACACAAAGAACCUAUACCCCAAAUUCCCUGCAUCACCGCAGCGAUUUAAUACCCGUUCGGUUAAGCCUGCACGCACUACAACACCCGAUUUUUGCAAGGCAAGCUCUAAUUUUGGAACUCUAGAAUGAAAAUUUCUUAGGAUUCUGUAUACCUUUUCGACAUCUCUCGCAAAUUCAUCAACGUUGUUGUCGCUGCUGCUGUUGUCCCCGUCUUUAAAGCUCCCUUCUUGAGUUUUGAGACAAACAAUACCAAAACCAUUUCUUGGAUUGUUAGGUACAGAAUUUUCUUUGAUGGGUUCGUGAGCUUUGUGGCAUAAUUGUCUGUGGAUGAGAUAUAGCGGGGAACUUGUUGGAUUAGAGGGAAGUGAGAGACGGCACCAGUGUUUGUUCAGAAAAGAGUUCCCUUUCAAGGAGAGUCUCUGCAUUUCUCUUCUGGAGAGUGGGAGCAUUUCGUUAGCGUUUCAUUUUCCAGGGAGGAAUCUCAAGGGAAAGCUAAAAACGAUGUCGUUAGACUUUAG